CCAGGUUCCCUGCCGAGGUUCUUAGCAACAGACUAAGCAUUGCAUUUACAGGUAAAGGAGUCCCAGAGGCCGCUACCUGAUGCUGACCAGUGCGAAAUAGUCCAACCAGGGGACUACGUACUUAUCAGAAAUUGGAACCGCAAGAAACUCGACCCCCGUUGGAACGGACCAUACCAGGUGCUGCUGACUACACCAACAGCAGUGAAGGUUGAAAACCAUCCACGUUGGAUACAUCUCUCCGACUGCAAAAAGAUUGGAUACAAGAAUGGCACGAGUGAUGUUCGCUCUACUGACGAUCCUAACCAUGGCCAGGGUAACAUGGACUAAUACUUAUCUGGCUAUGAGCCAUGAGUUUGCCGUACGGGCACAUGGGACUGAAUGUUGGGUAUGCACCGGUGUUCCGACUAGCAGUAAGGAAGGAUUUCCCCUGGUCCCCAUUCCAUUAAACCUUACCGAGAGACUAGCGAUGAGGUGCUUUAGUAACUCUGCUAAAAAAUCGUCAUGCCUAAAAAUCAUACGGAUAACAAAUAC